GGAGGCUUUAAUUUCACAUGAUAGCCUGAGGUGAUUGCACCAGGUUUACGGCUUUAGAUGAUUGUUGUAUCCGUUCUUUAACCAUGGGAGAUUGUGUCAUCGGAGCUUCAUCAAUAUUUUUGGAAGCAUUGCUAUUAAUUUCAGAACAAACCUUCACAAAUUUGGGACAUAAAAAGGAUAAUGAUCGAGGAGAGACGCCGUUGAAGCUUCUUAUACAGUUUCAGACAUGGAGAGCUAAUAGCAACUGUUGAUGAAA